rnacentral:lncRNA from 1 species
AUGACCAACAGGAAAAAAAGUUGCUGGCAUGAGUUGUCUUGGUUCCUUUUUCAUUUUCUGCUCCUUCUGUUUCCCAGACAACAGUUGCGAGAAGGAGGAGAAGCCCAGCUGCUGAAUAUUUUAAAAUAUUGUAGCUUUCUCCCAGCAAGUAAUUUCCAAGAUAUACUUUGGAAUUACAGAGUAGAAUAUUCUUUCCUAUAUUCUUCAUGAGCCAUAAUUCCACAAUAGCUUUACUAAUUAUUGGGUUGGCCAAAAAGUUCACUGAGGUUUUCCAGAAGAUGUUAUGGAAAGAUCAAACUUUUUGGCUAACCCAGUACCUAAAUGUCUGCCUUAUUAUAGGUAGAACUUUUACAGAUAUGUACCUGAGGUGAUUUCAGCUUGUACACCACCAUGAUGCACCAAGCUGGUGGCUAAAGGAGACACGGCUGUAACUCUUAGUUACAUUUUAAGUCUAGAGUUCUUAAACUUAAGCCAGAAUUCAAUACGCUUCACUUACAAUUUUAGAGUAACAGAGUAUCGACAAUUAAUUUCAGAUUGGGAAGAGAGCAUAGUGGUGCAUCUAAAUGAUAAGUGAUAAAUCUGUUGAAUGUGAAGGGACACGAAAAACUGUCAUGCUUUUAAGAUAUUUAAGUCAGAUUUGAAAAGAACACCCCUCCCCUUGCUGCUGGGUUCUUUUACUACUUUAAAGUCUUAAAUAAAAGGAUAAAAGGGGAAAGCCAAUUUUGGAGAAUUAUUAUAAAGAGUUAAGUUUAAAAGUCAGAACAACUGCAAAUAAGCCCUACUAAAACAAGCAGCUGGCAAUAUAUUUUUAAUUCAAAAUUUAGAUCUGCAUAGGCUUUUAAAGUCAUAAAUUUCUAAAAUGAAAUUUGCCUCCUAAAGCUUUAUAUGUUGAGUUAUUUCCCUGUAAUAGACAUCAAAGCUGUAUGACAUUCAGCUUUUUAUUACCUUGAAUUUUUAAAGUGAAAAAUAUAACAGCUUCAUACAUUGAACAGAACUUAGCAGCAUCUGCAGCAAUUCCAUAGUUAUAAUAAAAUAGC